GUGAAUUAAGCGGUCUGUGUUGAGCGACAUGAAUUCCUUUACCGCGUGGCGUUCCAAAGGCGAUUCUCACCCGGGUGUUGCCUGUGCUGUGGCUCUCCUCUAUGCCCAAGAAACAGGUCUGCAUCCAGGCUUGGUGGGAAUUUCCACUACAGAAAGAGAAUCAAAUACCCCAGCCACUAUGCCAUGAAAUGCAACCUCUGGCUUCGCAACCUCUGUGAGUUGCUGAAUUCUUCCUUCCAAGUUGCUCGCCAACUACCAGACUCUCUGCGCAAGAUCAGCCAUCGCCAUUGUCCUCGUCUCUGAAAAUUGUUCUGUCAAUGAAAUGAUCUACCAUGAAGGACAUCUGUGGAAACACAGUCUGUGACGAGAGCCCAUGAAUAAUUUCCACGUGCUCCUGCCAGUCUUUUAAGCUGCGCGUCCUUGAGUCACAGAGACAUGGCUGGGCAGCUGAAAGUGUCACCGAGUAUUCCAUGGACACCACAGUUCACUCAAGUGUUAACUGCUCACAAGGAUACACAGCCAGCCUCCCCCAAACAUGAGGCGAUCCAACUGUGUUCUUCCCAUGAGAAGCCAAAGGCAUCUCUCCCCAAGCACAAAGUAGUAAAGAGCCCUGGAUGCCUGGUUCCUAUUCCUGGGAGCGUAUGCAAUUACUCUGUCACCCUGGUGGCCAACGCUGACUGUCCUAUCAGCAUGACUCCUGAUUAUCAGCUCCCCAUCUGCAUGAAAGUAAAAGCCAGCUCAUCCUAUUCACCGGCUCCGAAUCCUCCACUGGCUUCCCCUUUCACUAGAAUAAAACCCUAAAUCUUUACAAUGACCUGACAACAUAAUUCUCCCCCGUUCCCUCCGCCGAAACUGCUGUUAUUUUGCCGGCUUUGUGCAUUACUCAUCCUCUCUAGACCAGUUUGCUAGGGCUGCCGUAACAAAAUACUCCAGAAUGGGUGACGGAAACAACAGAAACUUAUUUUCCCACAGUCAUGGACGCUCACAGUGUCACCGGAUUUAGUUUCUUCCGAAAUGUCUCUCCUUAGCUUGAACAUGGCCAUCUUUUCACUGUGUCCUCACAUGGUCUUUCCUCUGGUGUCUCUCUGUGUCCAAAUAUCCUCUUUUAAUAAGGACACCAGUCAGACAGGAUUAGGGCUCACGCCUUCAUUUUAAUGUAGUCAUCUCUUUAAAAGGAUCUAUCUUCAAACACAGGGGUUAAGACUCCAGCACAUGAAAUCGGAGGGGACAGGAUUCAGCCCAUGGCACCCUCGAUCAUUCUGCUGCAGCCAACCUGACUUUCCGAAAGUUAUUCAAACAUACCCCUUGCCUUUACGCCAUCUAUUCCUUACCUCUCACACACUGCAAAUCCAAUAAAGUCUGCCCCACUCUUUAAGGAUGCGCCUGC
rnacentral:lncRNA from 1 species